rnacentral:rRNA from 2 species
CUGGCGGCGUGCCUAAUACAUGCAAGUCCGAGCGAAUCUUAGAGGUGCUUGCACCUCUUCCCUUAGCGGCGGACGGGUGAGUAACACGUGGGCAACCUGCCUGUAAGACUGGGAUAACACCGGGAAACCGGUGCUAAUACCGGAUAAUCCUUUUCCUCUCAUGAGGAAAAGCUGAAAGUCGGUUUCCGCUGACACUUACAGAUGGGCCCGCGGCGCAUUAGCUAGUUGGUGAGGUAACGGCUCACCAAGGCGACGAUGCGUAGCCGACCUGAGAGGGUGAUCGGCCACACUGGGACUGAGACACGGCCCAGACUCCUACGGGAGGCAGCAGUAGGGAAUCUUCCGCAAUGGACGAAAGUCUGACGGAGCAACGCCGCGUGAGCGAUGAAGGCCUUCGGGUCGUAAAGCUCUGUUGUUAGGGAAGAACAAGUACCGGAGUAACUGCCGGUACCUUGACGGUACCUAACCAGAAAGCCACGGCUAACUACGUGCCAGCAGCCGCGGUAAUACGUAGGUGGCAAGCGUUGUCCGGAAUUAUUGGGCGUAAAGCGCGCGCAGGCGGUCCUUUAAGUCUGAUGUGAAAGCCCACGGCUCAACCGUGGAGGGUCAUUGGAAACUGGGGGACUUGAGUACAGAAGAGGAAAGCGGAAUUCCACGUGUAAGCGGUGGAAUGCGUAAAGAUGUGGAGGAACACCAUGGGCGAAAGCCGCUUUCUGGUCUGUACUGACGCUGAAGCGCGGAAGCGUGGGGAGCAAAAGGAUAAA